rnacentral:rRNA from 1 species
CCUACGGGUGGCAGCAGUGAGGUAUAUUGGUCAAUGGGCGCGAGUCUGAACCAGCCAAGUCGCGUGAAGGAUGACUGUCCUACGGGUUGUAAACUUCUUUUAUAAAGGAAUAAAGUGAGGCACGUGUGCCUUUUUGUAUGUACUUUAUGAAUAAGCAUCGGCUAACUCCGUGCCAGCAGCCGCGGUAAUACGGAGGAUCCGAGCGUUAUCCGGAUUUAUUGGGUUUAAAGGGAGCGUAGAUGGGUUGUUAAGUCAGUUGUGAAAGUUUGCGGCUCAACCGUAAGAUUGCAAUUGAUACUGGCAGUCUUGAGUACAGUUGAGGUAGGCGGAAUGCGUGGUGUAGCGGUGAAAUGCUUAGAUAUCACGAAGAACUCCGAUUGCGAAGGCAGCUUACUAAACUGCCACUGACAUUGAUGCACGAAAGUGUGGGUAUCAAACAGGAUUAGAUACCCUUGUAGUC